rnacentral:rRNA from 1 species
CGGAGGGUGCAAGCGUUAUCCGGAUUCACUGGGUUUAAAGGGUGCGUAGGUGGGUCUGUAAGUCAGUGGUGAAAUCCCCCGAGCUUAACUUGGGAACUGCCGUUGAUACUAUAGAUCUUGAAUAUCGUGGAGGUAAGCGGAAUAUGUCACGUAGCGGUGAAAUGCUUAGAUAUGACAUAGAACACCAAUUGCGAAGGCAGCUUACUACACGAUCAUUGACACUGAGGCACGAAAGCGUGGGGAGCAAACAGGAUUAGAUACCCUGGUAGUCCACGCCCUAAACUAUGGAUACUCGACAUCAGCGAUACACAGUUGGUGUCUGAGCGAAAGCAUUAAGUAUCCCACCUGGGAAGUACGAUCGCAAGAUUG